rnacentral:lncRNA from 1 species
GAUGGUGAAGUAGUGGAGAGAGAGAGAAGAGUCAAGAGUAACCGUAUUAACCACGAAGUCUCUCAAUCGAGUAGAAGGAAUUUUUGGCCGAUGUCCUCAUCCUAAAACCUCAUCAACUCCCGUAUCCGGUGUAUUUGUUUCAACAUUCUGAGGAAUCUCCUCAGGAACCUCCGCAGGAGCCAGUUGUAUAUUCUCAGCCUCAGGUGCAGUAGCCAGUACAUCUUCCUCUGUUACAGGUUGCACAUCGUUGGAUGUACCACUAUCCGAGUCAGUGUCAUCAAGAGUGGCCUCUUGUAGUUCAGGCACUUCCGCAUGAUUAUCAGAUUUGUCGGAAUG